GAUGAACGCUGGCGGCGUGCCUAAUACAUGCAAGUCGAGCGAACAGAUGAGGAGCUUGCUCCUCUGACGUUAGCGGCGGACGGGUGAGUAAAACGUGGAUAACCUACCUAUAAGACUGGGAUAACUUCGGGAAACCGGAGCUAAUACCGGAUAAUAUAUUGAACCGCAUGGUUCAAUAGUGAAAGACGGUUUUGCUGUCACUUAUAGAUGGAUCCGCGCCGCAUUAGCUAGUUGGUAAGGUAACGGCUUACCAAGGCAACGAUGCGUAGCCGACCUGAGAGAGUGAUCGGCCACACUGGAACUGAGACACGGUCCAGACUCCUACGGGAGGCAGCAGUAGGGAAUCUUCCGCAAUGGGCGAAAGCCUGACGGAGCAACGCCGCGUGAGUGAUGAAGGUCUUCGGAUCGUAAAACUCUGUUAUUAGGGAAGAACAAAUGUGUAAGUAACUAUGCACGUCUUGACGGUACCUAAUCAGAAAGCCACGGCUAACUACGUG
rnacentral:rRNA from 1 species